UUGGCUAAAUUAGAGUUAAGCUAACAAUUUAGCAUUAUGUUAGCUGCUUUUAGCUAAUGUAGGCAUGUUUCCAGUUUUUCAGCUAAUUUGGCAUUUAGCUAAUAUUUUAGCAAGCUUUCACCUUCAACAUUGUCAGCUAACUCCUCUGGUGUCUUUAGCGACCACAUUCAGCUUACAGCAUUCACAAUUGCAUUAUUUCAGGUAAUACAAAAUAUGUAGUUCUCUGCAUCGUUUUGAUCUCAUAAUUAACUUUUAAAAAAUAUUAGCCAUAAACUUUGUUGUUAGAAGCAGGUUUUAUAUGUCAGUUUACUAGUUUUUCCUAAUUUAAUUAGUUUAUUCCUUUAACUUUUACUUUAGAAACAACUGGGAUAGUGGUUGUAAAACUACAGGAAACUGCAGAGAAGGUGAGUCGAAAGGUGGACCCACAUAAGAUUGAACUCUAUGGGUUAGGAAUAGGAUGGCUCUUCAGUUCAUAUCCUUCCGCCUCUUCAGUAACUGCCUCUGCUGGACCAACGCAACACCAGAAACAAAGAGCUGACUGCACUGCAAUAACCUGAAACCUGCAGAGAAUUCAGUCCAAUCAAGCAACUCCUCCAGGAUGCCCUAAACAAGCAGAGAAUCACCCCCCACACGAGACCUGAAACCCGGAAAGAGAAGCCCUCGGAGAUCUAAUAUCCCUUCCUAAGAGCUGGAGAGUGAAAGCUUUGGGGCAGCAGUCAAACUGUGUUUGUGGCUUAUUUGUUUUUGCUUAAUAAACUUGGAGAUGGGAACUUUUGUUUUCAUGAAAUUUUUCACUUUUUACAUUUUUUUUCCCCUCUAAAUUUGUCAGUAAUUGAUGCAAACGUCAUAUGAGGUGCAGUGUUUACCAGGACAAGCAAGAGUUUCAUCACCCAUUAGUAGCAGCACUUGCACAAUGACUGGCUCCCCGUCUAAAUGUAUUUUUACCGCCACAGAAACAAAGACAAAAGGGGGUUCGGAGCAACCGACAGAGAUGUCCGCGGAGUGGAAAUAGUUAAAGCCAUAAAGACAUACAGUAUCUCAGCCCUGACCCCAUGCCCUCCUAGGUAUCCCCCUGCGCAGAAUUCUUAUUCCCUACCAAACUGACAAA